rnacentral:rRNA from 1 species
UACAGAGGUGGCAAGCGUUGUUCGGCAUUACUGGGCGUAAAGGGCGCGUAGGCGGCCUCUUAAGUCGAACGUGAAAUCCCCGGGCUCAACCCGGGAACUGCGUCCGAUACUGGGGGGCUUGAAUCCGGGAGAGGGAUGUGGAAUUCCAGGUGUAGCGGUGAAAUGCGUAGAUAUCUGGAGGAACACCGGUGGCGAAGGCGGCAUCCUGGACCGGUAUUGACGCGGAGGCGCGAAAGCCAGGGGAGCAAACGGG